AUGGCAGGUGUCGUGGGUAGGGGCCUGCCGGCUAUGGGGCGACCGGCGUUUCUGUUGCUCGUGAUGUGUGCUGCCGGCACCCAGGGGCUCUACUUCCACAUCGGCGAGACAGAGAAGCGUUGCUUCAUCGAGGAAAUCCCCGACGAGACCAUGGUCAUCGGCAACUAUCGAACCCAGAUGUGAGACAAGCAGAAGGAGGUUUUCCUUCCCUCGACCCCUGGCCUGGGCAUGCAUGUGGAGGUGAAGGACCCCGACGGUAAGGUGGUACUGUCCCGACAGUAUGGCUCCGAGGGCCGUUUCACGUUCACCUCCCACACUCCCGGUGAACAUCAGAUUUGUCUGCACUCCAAUUCCACUAGAAUGGCCCUCUUCGCCAGUGGCAAACUGUGUGUGCACCUAGACAUCCAGGUCGGGGAGCAUGCCAACAACUACCCUGAGAUUGCAGCUAAGAAUAAGCUGACGGAACUGCAGCUCCGUGCUCGCCAGUUACUUGAUCAAGUGGAACAGAUCCAGAAGGAGAAGGAUUACCAGAGAUAUCGUGAAGAACGCUUCCGUCUGACCAGUGAGAGUACCAACCAGAGGGUCCUGUGGUGGUCCAUCGCUCAGACAGUCAUCCUUAUCCUUACUGGCAUUUGGCAGAUGCGUCAUCUCAAGAGCUUCUUUGAGGCCAAGAAGCUGGUGUAGUGUCCUCUCUGUAUGACCCUUUUUACUUUAGUUCUUUGGUACUUUCUCCAACCAAUCCCUUAACCACCUGGAUUUUGAGGGGAAAAAAUGCAAAGGAAUAUGACAUGUUGGUAGUAUGGCAACAAACCAUUCUGAUCAGUAACUUGUUUAACCUUGAUUCUCAUGGACACAGGACAUUGGUCCAAGAUUUCAAAUUCUAUUUUAGGGCUUAUAAGGAAUUGAAACUAAUACAAGACAAGUCUUGUCUCUUUUGCCUCCAGUGAUUCCCCUGUCCUCUCAAAAAAUGAGCAAAUGACCUUCUGUUUUUUUCUUCAUCUGAUUACACAGUAGGUGACUGGCAUACCCCACAAAGGAGGCCUUGCCUCACUGUUCCCUAGCCAGUUACUUGGUUCACUCAGUGGCUUUGUGAAUGUAAAUAAGGGGCAGGUCUUGGCCCCAGAGGAUCGAGAUGUUUUUCUAUAUAUUAGAACUAUUUUUUGAUAAAUUAUAUAUUUUCCUUCCUA